rnacentral:rRNA from 1 species
UCGGGAAUUUUGGGCAAUGGGCGAAAGCCUGACCCAGCAACGCCGCGUGAGGGAUGAAGUAUUUCGGUAUGUAAACCUCAAAAGAAUGGGAAGAAUAAAUGACGGUACCAUUUAUAAGCUCCGGCUAACUACGUGCCAGCAGCCGCGGUAAUACGUAGGGAGCAAGCGUUGUUCGGAUUUACUGGGCGUAAAGGGCACGUAGGCGGCGCGGUAAGUCACUUGUGAAAUCUCUGAGCUUAACUCAGAACGGCCAAGUGAUACUGCUGUGCUAGAGUGCGGAGGAGGCAACCGGAAUUCUUGGUGUAGCGGUGAAAUGCGUAGAUAUCAAGAGGAACACCUGAGGCGAAGGCGGGUUGCUGGGCCGACACUGACGCUGAUGCGCGAAAGCCAGGGGAGCAAACG